GGCAGGAGAGGGACUGGGAAAGGCGGACCUGAGCGAGACCCAGUGGAGCGACCGAAGGAGGAGCGAUGAGCCGACGUCAGGGGAAGGCUAUGGUGAUGGUAGAAGAUACCGCCAUUGAAAUCGGCUCCAUGAUUUCAGUGAAAACGAUGGGAUCCCAGAAUGACAAAGGCCAAGUGGCAACAAUUAACCACAAGAGACAAGGAGGUGGGUCAAAAAAGAUCUUGCUGCGGUUUAUGUCAAAGACUGUUCUG